rnacentral:rRNA from 1 species
UACGGAGGGUGCGAGCGUUGUCCGGAAUCACUGGGCGUAAAGGGCGCGUAGGCGGCGCGGCAAGUCGUCGGUGAAAGCUCGGGGCUCAACCCUGAGUCUGCCGGUGAUACUCCCGCGCUCGAGCUCACUAGAGGCAGAUGGAAUUCCGGGUGUAGCGGUGGAAUGCGUAGAGAUCCGGAAGAACACCGGUGGCGAAGGCGGUCUGCUGGGGUGAGGCUGACGCUGAGGCGCGAAAGCCAGGGGAGCAAACGGG